UUUUUUUUUUUUUUUUUUUUUAGCUAUACAGAUACAGUCAUGACCCAGAACAGGCAUAGUUAGGAAAGCAUAUAGACAUCUAUUUUUCCAGUUAUAGACAUUUUUUAUUAUUUCAAGAUUUUUAUAAUUUCCUACAAGAACAGUUAUAUUGAAAAUUGUAUAAGCUGAGGCUGGAGAGAUGGCUCAGCGGUUCAAAACUCUUAACUGCUCUUGCAAAGAACCUGAGUUGGGUGGCCAGCACUCACAUGUAAUCCAGUUCUAGAGGAUCUGACCCUUUUUUUGUUUCCACAGGUUCACAGAGUAUGCAUAAACUCAUGAAGAAACAUACACAUAAAAAAUCUUUAAAAUAAAUAAAAUUAUAUAAGCUGUUUUACAGCAGGCAAAGUAUAAGUCUUAAUAAGUCGUAUAAAUCUAAGGCUUAGAGAGAUUAGAAAGAGAUGGUUUUAUCAGAGUUGGUACAUGAUGACAGUUCGACUGUUCUAUCUGAGAGAGAAUUAGACUUUUUUUUUAAAAAGAUGAAUUUUUAUGUGUAUGUGUGUGUCUCUAUGUGUGUGUCUCUGUGUGAGGUGUAUGCCAUGUAUGUGCAGGUGCCAAAGGUCAAGAGAGGAGAGCUGAUCCCCUGGAAAUGGAAUUACAUGCCUUGUGAGCUGCCCACAUGGGUGUUAGGAACCAAUCUCUGGUUCUCUGGAAGAGCAGCAAAUACCCUUAGCCUAUGAGCCAUCUUGCCAGCCUCAAAGCAUACUUGCACAUGCCCAAAACUGGAAAAAUGAAGCCAGGGUCUAUAUCCUUCCUUAUUUAUCCUGCAUCCUAAGCUCCCUGUUCCCCAAUUUUCAGCACCUAAAUGUGAUAGGCUCCCCAAUAGUUUAUUUUAUGAUUUUACAAAUGCAGGUGUUUAUCCUGCAUAUAUGUAUGUGCACACCACAUGUGUAUAAUACCCACACAAGCCAGAAGAUGGUGUCAGAGCCCUUGGAACUGGAGUUACGAAGGGUUGUGACUCACCACACCAUGUGGGUGCUGGGAAUUGAGUCUCAAUCCUUUGGAAGAGCAGUCAGUGCUCCUAAAUCCAAGCCAAAGCUGUAGCUCUAAACUGCCUUUUUAAAGUAGUUACGGCAUACAUAGCAAAGGCUGCCUUAUGCAACUGUACAAGUUUUCUAAUUUGUAAGUGAGCAAACGAGUAGAGUAACAUAUAUUAAAUAUAUGAAAUAUUAAUUUUUAUAAUGUAAGAUUUUCAUGUAUUAUCUGGGGAUGGUGGCACAUGCCUGUUAUCCCAGCACUUAGGAGGCAAAGGCACAUGUUCCCCCACAUAUCAAAAAUAAGAAGAGUUUGUUUUAGUUAUAUAUUUUCAAAUAAUCACCUAUUUCUUACUCUCUGUCCUCAUAGAAAUUUUGUACAUAUACCUUUUUUUUUUUUAAGUGGUGUCUCACUAUGCCACCCUGGUUGACAUAGAACUCUAUGUCAACCAGGCUGGCCCUGAAGUCACAGAGACUGCUCUUGAGUUCUGCAAUUAAAGGUGUGUGUCACUAUGCCUGGCCAUAUACAUAGCUUUGUGGUAUUAUAUUAAAGGUUUUGUUUAAGACUCAGCUUUCUCUACUAAACUGAGAUUCGGAGUUUUUCUUGCUCAUUUUUGUAGCUUUUCAGUGCAGCAAUAUGAUAAAUAUGUAGUAGAUAUUAGUAAAGAAAUGUUAAUAUCAUUACUAUUGUAGACUUUCUCAUUACUAAAAUAAUUCUGGGAUUGAUAAUUUUGCCUAAGCAUAUUUAAUAAAGUGUAUUUCUUAGUUUAGAUAGUUCAAGAAUGAAUAUUUAAAUUUAUAGACUGAAUUUUACACAUGAUACAAGGAUUAAAGUUUAUGAGUGAAAUAAUAUUCAUCCAAAUUCAUGAAAAAGACCAGAUGGAAAUAGCCAGCAAUAAAAUGGGUGUGAGUAGAACUGAUUGAAUGCACUAUACACAGAAGAAUAGAAUGUGUAAAGAUAAGAUGCUAUAGCAGUUCUUAGAAAUACACACACUUCUGUUUGGAAUAGGGACUGUAUUUCAAUGUUGGGCUAUCAUGACAAAUGUCACUAAAAGAGCCAGAUCAAAAGGAGGUGUGCUUUAUUAAGAGAUUGAAUUACCAAGAAAAAAUACAUGAACAAAUAUUGAAAAAAUUAAGUAGACAAGUAAUAUGAUAAAAUGUACUCUUCAGAAGGGGGCAUUUAAAAGUGCAUGGGAGGGAACUUAGGUAAUGUUACAAUUAGGUCAUGAACUGGGGACAAAGGGCUUAGGAUAGAGGAUUAAUAAGGAUGGAUAUAGACCCUGGCUUCAUUGUUCCAGGCUUGGGCAUGUGUGAGUAUGCUGUUACCAUGACAGAGUCACUAGGGCCAACAUAGAUGGUAGAAUGCAAGCAUUCUGAUUUUGAGACUUACAUGAUAGAUCUACCUUGGGAAGAUAGAUACACAUGCUGACUAGCAAAAAACAUCCAGGCUAGAGAUAGAAAUUAAUAGUGAUUGCUUAUUGGCCUUUCACUUAACUGUGUCAGUCACUAAGGCAGACACUUUUUGUAUGUCACACCACUUACUCCUCAUGAAUUGUUACUCUUCUUAUUUAAUAAAUCCAGAAGUAAGAUUUAAGAGUUUAGGUAAUCGUAGCAUUACUUGUUGAUUCUAAGGCCAUGUUGAAGCCAAGCUGAUAGGAAUACAGUUACCUAUAUAGGACUUACAGGAUGAAACAUGUGGAGAGCUAUAGGUGACUGAGGCAGGAGAUAAGAGUGGUGAAUUGUGUAUUUGGAGGCAAACAGAGAAAGAAAGCCUCCAAAUAAAACUAAAAGGAAGGUGCUGGAGAGUUGGCUUAGUAGUUAAGAGCACUUGUUCUUUCAAAGGACACCGGUAUGAUUCCCACUACCUACGUGGAAGCUCAUCACUUCUUAGGUACCACAUAUGCAUGUGGUUCACAGACAAACAUAAAGGCAAAGCACUUGUAUGACUAAAAUAAAUCUAAAAACAAAUAAAAACUAAGAACGCCAAGGGAGGUAUCCACUGGCUCAUUUAUAAUAUAAAAUAGUUCUUUCAAAUGGAGAAGUUUUAUUGUGUGAGACAUUUGGGAAAUCACUGUAGAAUCCUAUCUUGUAGACUCAAGUGUACAUUAGUAUAUUAAAGGUCUGAUUCCCAGCACCUACAUGGCAACUCAUAACUAUCCAUAACUCCAGCUCCAUGGGAUCCAGUGCCACUUUCAACCUGAGUGGGCACUAGGCAUGUAUGCACAGAUUUAUAUGCAAACAAUUAACCAGACCCCUCCGAGCUCCCAGUGACUAAACCACCAAACAAGAGGAUACAUGGGCCAGUCCGUGGCUCCCACUUCAUAUGUAGCAGAGGACUGCCUCAUCUGGCACCAGUGGGAGAGGAGGCAUUUGGUCCUGUGGAGGCUUGAUGUCCCAGAGAAGGGGGAUCCUAUGGGGGUGAGGUAAGAGUGAGUGGGUGGAUGGGGGAGCACCCUCUUAGAGGCAAAGGGGAGGAGUAUGAGGUGGAGGGGAGACUGGGAAGGGAGAUAGCAUUUGAAAUGUAAACAAAUAAAAUGAUU
rnacentral:lncRNA from 1 species